AGGAGUAUAGUUUAUUUGUGAAAAUGUUAAAUUGUAAAUUUAAAGAAAAGUUCUCUUG
rnacentral:tRNA from 1 species